rnacentral:rRNA from 1 species
UACAGAGACUGCAAGCGUUAUUCGGAUUCACUGGGCGUAAAGGGUGCGCAGGCGGCCGUGUGUGUCAGGUGUGAAAGCCCGGGGCUUAACCCCGGAAUUGCGCCUGAAACUACAUGGCUAGAGCAUUGGAGAGGGUAGCGGAAUUCACGGUGUAGCAGUGAAAUGCGUAGAUAUGUGGAGGAACACCGAUGGCGAAGGCAGCCCCCUGGGAUGUGACUGACGCUCAUGUACGAAAGCGUGGGGAGCAAACAGG